AUGAUUUUUGAAGGAAAAAUGAAAAGAAUUAUUUUUUUCAUGAAAACCAAAAACAACAUGAGGAAAUUAAGUGAAAAUUUGAUGAUUUUAUGAAAAAUAUUUGAUGGAUUUAAGUGUAUACGGUGUGUGUUAAUUAUUGAAAAUUAUGUUUAUAUGAGGUACGUAUAAAUGUUAGAGAUUCAUGCUAAGUUGAAUGCAAAUUUGGUUAAAUUCCAUGUUUAAAUAUGUUAGUAUGAAUGUUUGGUUAUUUGGGCAAAUUAAUGUUUGAUAUGUUUUGGUGAUAAUUUUUUUUUGAUGCUAGUCAUUAGAAAUUCAGAUAUUUUGUUUGAUUAUUUUCAUAGAUUAUCUAAAAUUUGUAUAGAUUUUGGUGUUUAGGUGGUAGAAAGGACGGUGAUCCGCGUACCACUUCCGGUGAACGGAUCAUGGUGGCUUUGUUCAUUAAAGGCAAGGCAUGGUUGGGCUGAAGGCCCAAACAUAAAGAAAUGCCUGGGGCCGAAAGGGGGCGAGAUCGGAAGUCGGAAGAUAAAUUUCCGAUUAGGAAUUAUGAUUAAAAAUUAACUUUGGACUAUAAUAAAAAUAUAAUAAAUUAAUUGUGCUCUAAAAGUUAAAAUAUAAAGGAAAUAAGAUUUUUACAAUAAAUAAAAUAAGUUUUAAAGAUUAUAUAGUCGGAAUUGACUACGAUCCAUAAAAGCGGAAUAGGAACCUAGGGUGCCGAAAAUGAAAACAUAUAUUAAAUUUAUAUUUGGAUAAUAUUUUGAUUAUAAGAUAAAAUAUUGGUGGACUUAGGUUAUAUACUGCCUUUUCCGUGGGCUUAAGUUUAGUAAGCCUUGUUAAAAUAUGGAGGAAAUUAGACAGGGCACGAUUCAACACUAAAAUAUUCUCACUAGUACGGAUGGUUAUGUCUCGCUACAAAAAUACGAAAGUCUUCUUAUUUCUUUCUCUUUCAAUCUUUUAUUUGAUGUUUUUACGAUUCAAUCUACUGAAAUAUACACUCAAUAUGAAAGAAAGCUAGUGAUGAGUAUUUGAGCUUAAGGGAUUUGAAUUUACUGUCAAUUUCAUUGAGUACAUGUGUUGUACUGCGUUCAUCGCUGCUGUUGAUUUCAAUUUCAGUUUCGAUUGUUGAUUAUUGGUAUCGGUGAGUUAAAUCCAUCUCUGUGUUGAAUCGUUGUUAAUGAUUUCAAUUUCUCAAUUUUGAUAUGUUUGAUUUCUCCUCAAAACCUAUUAUCAGGGUUUUCAAUUAAAUUCGUUAAGGUUAAUCUCUUCUUUAUUUCAAUCUCAGUUAAUCGAUAUUUUUUAUUACCUGAUGCAUCAUAUCAAGUAAGUUAGUUGGCAACAACAUUUUGGUUCGUACAUGUUUAUAUUACUGAACUUGGUUUUUUAGCAAACUAACAGUGAACUAUUAGUAAAGUUAAAUGCAACAGGAUAAAGGAUGCUUGUAAGGUGUUCGAUUAGCUGCCUCAACCGGAUGUUGUUUUUUAUAGUGCUUUACUUUUUGGUUCGUACAUGCUUUACUUUCUGGUUACUUUUUGAUCAUAAUAAUGAUGCUUUGUAGUUGUGUUGCUGCCUUAGGAUAUGGUUUUUGGUGUGACAAUCUUAAUGAUGAUUAUAAGGUUGUUAGUAUUGCACAAAAAUUACUAGGUUGUUUGUUGUUACAUUUUUAAGUAUCAAGUGAAGAAGCUAUAGAAACUACUAGGCUGUUUGCUUUGAAGGAAUGUUUGCUGGUAGGAUUAUGGCUUCACAUCCUUUUUUUAUUAAUAAUCUGCCUAUAUGCUUUGUUCUAUUUAGGAAAAAGAAUGUGCAUAUAUUAGCUACUGAGAUUGCUGUAGGAGGUCCAACAAAACUCAGCCGUAUAUAUCCCUUGCUACUCCAACUAUCGCAGCACCUCGUACACCUGAGCACAGCAGUCCCGUUUUGACUGAUCAGGCCCCUCGAACUCCUCAGACAAUAGCUAUUUAUGGCAUCAUAUGUUUGAUUCGGCAUAAAUUUAACUAAUUCUUUUUUGAUGUCAUUGGCUCUAUUUUGUUUGAUUUUGCUGCUGACUUUUGAAUUUUUGUUUUCUUUUAUUUCUAAUAUAGUUUUUCACUUGUUGUGUUUCUAAUACUUAAAUACAUUGUGAUUUUCUCCUUACAUACAUUGUUUAAAUAUACUGUUCAAAUGUGGAUUGUAGUUAUAGCUAAUCCAGGUGGAGGAGUAUUUAUAUCAGAUCCAAAAGAACCUACAGGAGGUCAUGUUGUUGCUCAUGCAGCCACAAUAAGGCUGAUCUCCGGGAACGGAAAAGGUGAACAACGUGUCUAUAAGCAAAUUUUGAAGACAGAUUUUGAUUAUAAGGUUCCUGAUGCCAAGCCAAUAUCAUUUGUCAAGGCAAAAAAAAAUUGAAACUUGUGAAGGGACUAAAUCCACUUAAUGACAACUUUGGUGAAAGUAUUAUUUCUUCUGAUCAACAAUGGGAGCGUAUUGCAUUUCUUUUGUAUCAAUAUGGAACACGAAGAUGGCGAAAAAUAUUGAGAGUGAUGAAGAGGUUGAAGUUAAGAAGACGAAUGCGGAAGCGACAAAGGCAAAAAUGAAGAAAACAAUUUAAAACUUGUGAUUGUCUAGUAUAUAAAUUUUCAGUUUUAGUUGUUUGUUUGGAUUAUUUUGUUGUAUAGGAUUGUUUUCUGAACUUAUGAAUAUUGGUUGUUAUUUUUGUUUAGUUUUAUAAAUUCAGUAUCUAUUUAGUA